ACAAUCUUGUAAAAAUAUCUCUUAAUUGAAGUAUCAAAAAUGCAAUAUCUCUCAAUAGUUUUUAUGUCAUUGUUUGCAAUCGAUUUAUCCUCAGCAAAUGGAGUAGCUGUUUCAAAAAUCGACGAAAUUUUUGUGGGAAAGUGUGAAAAGAACAUCAAAACCAAAGUUCCUGCACAAUUGUGCCAAAUUCGUAAACUACUGAUUGAUGUCGCAACAGCAGAAACUAAAGCUUUUGGUGACUGCAUUCUAAAGGAAUUCGGAUAUUUCGACUCAAAUGGCAAAAUAGACAAAUCAGCACUAGCGAAAGACUAUAGCGAGCAGGGAUUCAUUGGAAAGGACGCAGAAUUGUCAAGCAUGAUUGAUGAUUGUGAGAGAGAGUUCGGAACUGGUAUUAACUCUGUAAACUAUUUGUUGUGCAUCACUAUGGAGAAAGAUUUUGCUGGUGUUCUAAAUUCCAGGAAAAAGAAAGAAGGAAAGUGGCAACCUGAAAAACCGGUUUGCAAGUGACGAAAAUAAAUUUAGAAAAAAUAGUUUAAACAAUAUUAAAACUAGUCAUGCAAAAUUGUUACAACCUGUUCCAACCCAUGAUCAGCCCAGAAGCCAUUUAGGAUCGGUGGAAGCAUGAAUUAACUUUAAAUUACCCUCUCAAAACAAAAGCCCAGCCUGCGCUCAACAACUCUCUAAGCGCCCAUAUUUCCAUAACUGUUGCAAUCAUAUUCAGUGCGAGCAAUUACCAUUCGUUCAAAGUCAUGAGUCGAGGUACAAUACCGUUCACUUUGGGACAACGAGCUGAAAUUGCUGCAACAAGUUGGUGUAAAUGAAAUCAACCGUGCCGAGAUGGAGUCCCGGCGGCGAUCCUGUACUCGCGAGCACCUCAACAACAGGCCAACAAGUGUGAAGAAAACUCUGACCAAGUGACUAGCCACAGCCGCAGGUGAACACUUCAUGGGCGGACCCAUGUUGGAUCUAUUUCGCGCGCGCGCACCGUGCAAGUGCCCGGGAGAUGUUGUUGUUUUGAUUUCUUGGGCGAACACCGGGUCUCAGGCAGGGACGGUUUGGGGCAAGGUGUUAUUUAAAGUAAUGAUAUAAUAAGAAUUAUCAAAAAUUACAUUUGCAAGGAAUUUCCAUUAAGGGUUAUAUUUUGAAAAUUGUUUUACUAGAGUGCUUGGAAAUUUCACGAUGCUUUCAUUCUUUAACUUUGUAAAUCGGGAACAUAUU